UACAGAGGAGCCAAGCGUUGUCCGGAUUGACUGGGCGUAAAGCGCACGCAGGCGGUCUGGCGCGUGGGGUGUGAAAUCUGGCCGCUUAACGGCCAGGCGCCAUCCCAUACGGCCGGACUGGAGCCUUGCAGAGGUCGGUGGAAUUGCCGGUGUAGUGGUGAAAUGCGUAGAGAUCGGCAGGAACACCCAGGGGGAAACCAGCCGACUGGGCAUAUGCUGACGCUGAGGUGCGAGAGCGUGGGGAGCGAACCGG
rnacentral:rRNA from 1 species